CAGUAGCCUCGGGAAUACGGAGGGUGCAAGCGUUAAUCGGAAUUACUGGGCGUAAAGCGUGCGUAGGCGGUUCGUUAAGUCUGUUGUGAAAGCCCCGGGCUCAACCUGGGAAUGGCAAUGGAUACUGGCGAGCUAGAGUGUGUCAGAGGAUGGUGGAAUUCCCGGUGUAGCGGUGAAAUGCGUAGAGAUCGGGAGGAACAUCAGUGGCAAAGGCGGCCAUCUGGGACAACACUGACGCUGAGGCACGAAAGCGUGGGGAGCAAACAGGAUUAGAUACCCGUGUAGUCCCUGUCUCUUAUAC
rnacentral:rRNA from 1 species